rnacentral:piRNA from 1 species
UGGGAUUGCGAGGCCUUGGAGCUCUGCUG